rnacentral:rRNA from 1 species
GUCGAGAAUCUUCCGCAAUGCGCGAAAGCGUGACGGAGCGACACCGCGUGAUGGAUGAAGUCCUUCGGGGCGUAAACAUCUUUUAUAAAGGAGGAAAUUUUUGACGUUACUUUAUGAAUAAGGGGCUCCCAAUCUCGUGCCAGCAGGAGCGGUAAUACGAGAGCCUCAAGCGUUAUCCGGAAUCAUUGGGCGUAAAGGGUGCGUAGGUGGUUUGAUUAGUUUCCCGUUAAAACUUCGAGCCUAACUCGAAAAGAGCGGGGGAAACGGUCAAACUAGAGUAUGUGAGAUGUGUGUGGAACUCAUGGUGUAGGGGUGAAAUCCGUUGAUAUCAUGGGGAACACCAAAAGCGAAGGCAGCACACUGGCACAUCACUGACACUGAGACACGAAACCUAAGGUAGCGAAUGGGAUUAGAUACCCCAGUAGUCC